AACGUACGUCAGCCAUAUCCUGUCCAUUUGUCUGGAUCAGUUGCCGGGGAGUACCAACACUGCAUGAUUCCUCUACCCGUUCAGAUCCAGCUACCCCUACCUCGAUCAUCCAGAACAGCAUCAACAGCACCAAGGACCCCUUCGACAUCGACCCCAUCAACCUCCAGAACACUGUCGACCCCAACGACCCCAUUGACCUCAACAUUCAGAAAUAUGGAUGUCGAAGUUGUACCACCACAAGCUAGACAAGAUUUUGAUUCCGACUAACCUAUUCUUUAAAGGUCAAUUGCCUUAGGAAAUUAAAACUUUUAUGUCUUGUAUCAAGACCCUUUUAAAGCAACAUAAUAACAAUUGUUUCAUAAAUAAAUGCCUCCUUAUAUUUUUUACAAUUUUUUGAAAACCUCUCCAAGUUGCUCGUCUAAUGGUGGACCCCGCCCCUUACAAUUCUCAGAGUUCCUCGGAAUGAUUGACCAAAGGAUUAGUGAUGUUAUAUCAAGAACGAUCUCCGCUUAGGCAAGCUACGGUGCUUGCUAGCCAGCUCUGCAGGCAUUAUGUUUUGUACACAAACAUAAACAAUAACUUUUAUUAUUAAAUAGUGUGCUAUGCAUCUUUACUUGUUAUUUAUUGUGGUGAAAUUUCACUAAUUGCCCAAUUUUAAAAAGAGAGCUAUACCAUGAGUCGAAGAAGGUCGUAAUUAAUUUGAAUGCCUGUAUAACGUGUCAACUAAAUGCAUGCUAUAAAGAAUUUCAAAGGUAAGAAAAAAAUGUUUCAUAUAUCUAAGUGACUGAAUGUUUUUCGUACUACCUUCUUCUCAAUUUAAAGAAAUAUUGAAAGUGGUAUAUCAGAGUGAAGAAACUUGUGUUUUUCCCUUUACAAGCUCUGCUCUUUCUUACUUCACUUUCAAAUUUCCUCUCUUGUUAUAUAAACAUUUAGCGAUUGCUUUACUUCACACAUUCAAGCAAUGUAUACUAUCCCUCCUAAAACACAUAGAAAAAACACCUCCUAACAAUAGAUAUGGCGACGAAAUGUAUCAGCAUCUCUGAAAUGCCUAAGCAUAACAAAUGUUGGCAAUUUCUCUGAAUUUUAUUUUUUAAUUUUUUAUGGAACAUUGUUUACAUUAAUUGCCUAGUUCUUGGUAUGCAAAUGGUGGACACUUUAUUCAUUUCUUUAUAUUUUUGUGCUGUACAUAUGUAGAGGAAUCUUGUCAUAAGCAAUCGUGUUCGUCUGCCAGAAAGUUUGUUUUGUUUUACUCGGGAAGUUGCGAGGAUUGUUUAUUAUAUUCGUACAAUGAAUUUCAGUAUGUUAUGUUGUGUUACGUGUAAGCGACAAUUCAUUUUAUAACAGCUCCUAUCGUCCUAGCAUUCAUUGAUAGUAGGCCUAUAUUGUGACACAUUGAGAUACCUUGAACUUGAAACUAUGUUUACAUCUUUUUCGAAUUCAAACGAAAAUACAAAAGAAAGAUGUACAAUAA
rnacentral:lncRNA from 1 species